GAAGUUCGCCAGGCAGUCGCGACACGCGAAAGCGUAUCGAGGAAAGUCCGGGCCACAUAGAGCAGGAUGCCGGCUAACGGCCGGGCGCCAUACGCCGAAAGGCUAAAGCGACGGAAAGUAUUGCCCGAAGGGGUGAUCAUUGCGUGUUCUGUGAUCUGCGCCGCUUGCGGUGGGGAAACCCGAGCAGAUGCGCGAUGGCAACAGAAAACAAACCGCCGACGACCGCAGAUGUCGGGUCAGGGUGAAACGGUGGGGUAAGAGCCCACCGCGGACGUGGUGACACGGACGGCAUGGCAAACCCCAUCCGGGGCAAGGCCAAAUAGGGGAGCAUUGGCGUGGCUCGCGUCGCUCCCGGGUAGGCUGCUAGAGCGGCGUGGCAACGCGUCGCCGAGAGGAAUGACUGCCCGGCGCUCGCAAGAGCGUUUGACAGAACCCGGCUUAUCGGCGGACUUCCCAC
rnacentral:RNase_P_RNA from 2 species